rnacentral:rRNA from 1 species
GACGAACGCUGGCGGCGUGCUUAACACAUGCAAGUCGAACGGAAAGGCCCCCACUUUUUUGGUGGGGGUGCUCGAGUGGCGAACGGGUGAGUAACACGUGGGUGAUCUGCCCUGUACUUCGGGAUAAGCUUGGGAAACUGGGUCUAAUACCGGAUAGGACCAUGGUUUAGUGUCUCAUGGUGGAGAAAUUAUUGUUUUGGUGCAGGAUGAGCUCGCGGCCUAUCAGCUUGUUGGUGGGGUAAUGGCCUACCAAGGCGUCGACGGGUAGCCGGCCUGAGAGGGUGGACGGCCACAUUGGGACUGAGAUACGGCCCAGACUCCUACGGGAGGCAGCAGUGGGGAAUAUUGCACAAUGGGCGCAAGCCUGAUGCGGCGACGCCGCGUGGGGGAUGACGGCCUUCGGGUGGUAAACUCCUUUCGUUAGGGACGAAGCCGCACCUUUUUUGGGUGUGGUGACGGUACCUUUGUGAAGAAGCACCGGCUAACUACGUG